rnacentral:rRNA from 1 species
UACAGAGGUCCCAAGCGUUGUUCGGAUUCAUUGGGCGUAAAGGGUGCGUAGGUGGCGGGGUAAGUUGGAUGUGAAAUCCUGGGGCUCAACCCUAGAACUGCAUUCAAUACUGCCUUGCUGGAGUACUGGAGAGGAGAUUGGAAUUUACGGUGUAGCAGUGAAAUGCGUAGAUAUCGUAAGGAAGACCGGUGGCGAAGGCGGCGAUCUGGGAAGAUACUGACGCUGAGGUGCGAAAGCGUGGGGAGCAAACAGG